AUGUUAGAUCAAAACUUGAGUGUUCUUAGUUGGAAUGUCCGAGGCUUAAAAUGUCCUGAUCGUCACGCUGCCAUCUACCAGACUGUCCAUGCUUCCUGUCAUAUCAUUUGUUUUCAAGAAACCAAGCUCGAGCAGGUCGACCCUUUCACUGCUUCCUACCUGGGAGGGCACAUAUUGAAGAACUUCGCACAUCGUCCGGCAACAGGCACCCGCGGCGGCAUUCUGCUUCUCUCGGAUGAGACCUUUGUCUCCGUCCAGGACGUGUCUUUCGGUGCCUUUUUCCUCUCUGCCAAAGUCACCAUCGCUUCAUCAGGCACUUCAUUCAAGCUAACAUCUGUGUAUGGCCCGACUCGAAGCAACCUCAAAGACACAUUGUUCCAGGAGCUGACUCAGGAGAAGCCCCCCAGUGGAGACAAAUGGUUGGUCACCGAUGACUUUAACCAAAUAUAUAGAGCUAGAUACAAAAACCGUGCAAAUGUUGAUCAGAGUCGAAUUGUCCACUUCCGCAACGCGCUCAAUGCGUGUGAACUUAAAGAGAUACACCUUCAAAACCGAAAAUUUACUUGGAGCAACGAGCGAAAUGAUCCAACUAUGAGCAAGCUCGACUCUUUCUUCUGCAAUGAUGAUUGGGACAUCGAAUUUGGCACACAUCUUCUACGUGCCCUUUCUUCUUCUCUCACUGACCAUUGCCCACUUCUCCUUGCCAAUGAUAAAGGGCCGCCGAGAAACAAGUGCUUCCGCUUUGAAAACUUUUGGACCAAAAUGCCUUUCCAAGAUAUCGUCCGAGGAGUUUGGGGCAGAGAGGUGAAGCAUGUGGACCCCUACCACAUUCUCUUCUACAAGAUGAAAAAGAUGAGCCAAGCGCUUAAAAAAUGGAGCAAGACGAUUUUCGCGCAUUCGAAGGUGCAAGUCCACAUGGCUCUGGAGGUAAUUCUCUGUCUGGAUGAGGCCCAAGAAUCCCGACCUCUCAGUGCUGAUGAGCGUGAUCUUCGUAGGAGGCUCAAGCGCAAGGUGAUUAGUCUGUCUAUGCUUGAGCAUGCCCGGAAAAGGCAAUGUUCGAUAAUCACCAACCUCAAUAUGGAGAUGCCAACACCCGCUUUUUUCAUCUCCGUGUCAAUCACAGAAGAAAAAAGAACUUCAUUCACCGCCUCAAGCACAAUAGUGGAUGGGUCACCGAUCAUGAUCACAAGAAGUUCGUCAUCCAAAACCACUUCUUGGAGGUAA
rnacentral:rRNA from 1 species